ACAGAUUUGGUCCUAGUCCUAAAUUUGACUAUCUUCCAGAACGAUACAUGCCAGUUAAUAAGCAAUACAGUGAGUACAACACGUGCUUCCCUAUAGAGUAGAAAUGCACAUAAAGCAGCAUCAGGCACCCCCUUCAGCCCAUGACGCUUAGACGACCACACCAGCAGUACCUAACAUUAUACAAUAAGCAAAAGCUUGAUAUAGUCAUAGAGAUAGUGGCCGGUAAAUUAUGUGCCAGCCACCGCGGUUAUACAUAAGGCCACAGCCAAAACCCCAACGGUAAAAAAGCGGUACGUUCUUAACAAAUCGAGGUAAACCCAAACUCUAGCAGUAGCAAGCUUCACAGAACAGUAACAACGAAAAUAAAAAUGACCUCGAAAACAACAAACCGCUAAAGCUCCAAGAUAAACUGGGAUUAGAUACCCCACUAUAUGAGCCGUAAAAAAACCUUCACCAGAGAACUACGAAUUAACAUNNNNNNNNNNNNNNNNNNNNNNNNUUUUUAGACCUUCCUGGAGGAGCUUGCCACUUAACCGAUAACCCACGAAAAACCUCACCAGCUUUUGAAAACCCAGCAUGUAUACCAUCGUCGUCAGUCUACCUCUCAAGAGACGUAUACCUAAUGAGCCCAUCCUCACCACGUCAGAUCGAGGUGCAGUUUAUAAGCUGGGGGUAGGUGAGCUACAAUACUUCCACAACACAAAACCAACUAUGAACGGUGUAAUGAAACCUAACACCCAAAACCGGAUUCAGCAGUAAUACCCAAAAGAAAGUGGGUAUAAAACAACUAGCUCUAAAAUGCGCACACAUCGCCCGUCACUCUCGUCGACCAGAGGAGAAAAGUCGUAACAAAGUAGGCGUAUUGGAAAAUGCGCCUGGAACUAUUUA
rnacentral:ncRNA from 1 species